CCUGGUUGAUCCUGCAAGUAGUCAUAUGCUAGUCUUAAAGAUUAAGCCAUGCAUGUGUAAGUAUGAACAAAUUCAGACUGUGAAACUACGAAUGGCUCAUUAAAUAAGUUAUAGUUUAUUUAAUAGUAUCUACUACUCGGAUAACCGUAGUAAUUUUAGAGCUAAUACGUGCAACAAAACCUGACUUCUGGAAGGAAUGCAUUAUUAGAUAAAAGGUUGAUGCGGGCUCUGCUCGUUGCUGUAAUGAUCUAUGAUAACUCAAUGGAUCGCACGGACAUUGUGUCGGUGAUGUAUCAUUCAAAUUUUUGCCAUAUCAUCUUUCGAUGGUCGGAUAGUGGUCUACCAUGGUGGUGAUGGGAGAUGAAGAAUUAGGGUUCUAUUCCGGAGAAGGAGCCUGAGAAAUGGCUACUACAUCCAAGGAAGGCAGCAGGUGCGCAAAUUACCCAAUCCUGACACAGGGAGGUAGUGAAAAUAAAUAACAAUACUGGGCUCAAUGAGUCUAGUAAUUGGAACAAGUACAAUCUAAAUCUCUUAAUGAGGAUCCAUUGGAGGGAAAGUCUGGUGCCAGAAGUCGCAGUAAUUCCAGCUCCAAUAGCGUAUAUUUAAGUUGUUGCAGUUAAAAAGCUGGUAGUUAGACUUUGGGAUGGGCCGGAUGGUCUGCCUAUGGUGAGCACCGGUCGUCUCAUCCCUUCUGUCGGCGAUGCGCUCCGGGUCUUAACUGGCCGGGUCAUUCCUCCGGCACUAUUACUUUUAAGAAAUUAGAGUGCUCAAAGCAUGGCUAUGCUCUGUAUACAUUAGCAUGGGAUAACAUUAUAGGAUUUCGGUCCUAUUACAUUGGCCUUCGGGAUCGGGGCAUUCAUAUUUCAUAGUAAGAGGUGAAAUUCUUGGAUUAAUUAAAAAUGAACAAAUGCGAAAGCAUUUACCAAGGAUGCUUUCAUUAAUCAAGAACGAAAGUUGGGGGCUCAAAGAUGAUCAGAUACCAUCCUAGUCUCAACCGUAAAUGAUGCCGACCAGGGAUCGGCGGAUAUUGCUUUUAGGACUCUGCCGAUACCUUAUGAGAAAUCAAAGUUCUUGGGUUCUGGGGAGAGUAUAGUCGCAAGGCUGAAACUUAAAGGAAUUGAAUGAAGGGCACCACCAGGAGUGGAGCCUGCGGCUUAAUUUGACACAACAUGGGGAAACAUACCAGGUCCAGACAUAGUAAGGAUUGAUAGAAUAAGAGCUCUUUCUUGAUUCAAUGGGUGGUGGUGCAUGGCCGUUCUUCGUUGGUGGAGCAAUUUUUCUGGUUAAUUUCAUUAACGAACAUGACCUCAGCUUAGUAACUAGCUAUGCGGAGGUAUCCCUUUGUGGACAGCUUCUUAGAGGGACUACGGCCUUUUAGGCUGUGGAAGUUUGAGGUAAUAACAGGUCUGUGAUGCCCUUAGAUGUUCUGGGUUGCACGUGCGCUACACUUAUGUGUUCAACGAGUUUAUAGCCUUGGCCGACAGGCCCGGAUAAUCAUUAAAAUUUCAUCGUGAUAUGGAUAGAUCAUUGAAAUUGUAGGUCUUCAACGAGGAAUUCCUAGUAAGCACGAGUCAUCAGCUCGCGUUGAUACUUUCAACUCAUGCAUAUGUCUCAUGAAGAGUAAAACCUCCUCAAUGCUCAAUAUUUCAUAAUUAUUUAGAACUCAUAUACUUGGAAUUCGGAAUCAUAUGACUUGGAAACAUAUUUGAAGGCAUUUCAUUCACCUUAGGAAAAUAUCUCAUUUCAAGCUUUAGGAAAAUCAUUC
rnacentral:rRNA from 1 species